rnacentral:rRNA from 1 species
UUUCGAAGCUCGGCGGGCGACCGUCGCGCGUUGUAAGCUGAAGGGGCGCCAUCCAAGUUGCACGGCCCGGGUAUAGAUCCGUUGGAAAGCGGUAUCGCAGAGGGUGAGAAUCCCGUCCGUGACCCGGGAGAAAGGGCAUCAGCUCCGUGCAUCGUUGCGUUGCGCUUCCGAAGAGUCGGGUUGUUUGGGAAUGCAGCCCAAAAAGGGUGGUAAACUUCAUCUAAGGCUAAAUACAGGCACGAGACCGAUAGCGAACAAGUACCGUGAGGGAAAGAUGAAAAGCACUUUGAAAAGAGAGUCAAAAAGUACGUGAAACCGUUAGGAGGGAAACGAAUGAAGCUAGCAUUUGUGCGCGAUCGCAAUCAGCCGGACGUCCACGCGGGCGCGGGGUCGGAGUCUGGAGAAAUCCGGAUUACUUUGGAGAGCUUCGUCGAGUGCGCCGUAAGAAAGCGCGAUGACGACGAGCCUCACGGCGUCGCGAAUCGUCGAUACCCGCGGGGAACGAGAAAGCCGGUGCACUUGCGGUAGGCGUCAGGUCAACAUCAGUUCGGUAAAUAAUUAUUUCUUGCCAGACGAAGGAGACAGCAACUGUCGGGGAAAGGUGACCGUGGAGGCGAGCGGCUUCGAUUCGUCGAGGCAGCCACGCGUUCACGGGGCUUACAGACCCCGAUCGAAAGUUUAAUUCUAGCGUCGCGGCCUGGACUGAGGAAACGUGGCAGCGCGGUUUUUCCUUCUCGCCCGAUAAGGAACGGGAAGGGAACGACUUUGCAGAUCUCCCGCUGGGGUUGCGGGCCGACGGUCACUGAGCCGAAAAGGAGCAGUGGCGGAAGGCAUCCUACAAGCGCCUCACGAACGUCAUAACCGGCUACGGGGGUGUAGUGGCAUAAUGCGCGCUUGCGAUGUUGGCGAAAUGGCUUUAUCCGACCCGUCUUGAAACACGGACCAAGGAGUCUAACAUGUGCGCGAGUCUCGGUGACAACCCUUGCGAGGGGCGCAAUGAAAGUGAAGGCGCGCCAAUGUGUCGUGCGCAUAAGAACGCCGUGAGGUGAGAGGCUUUUUUUUUUUUUUUUUUUUUUUCCCCCUUCGGGGGGGAAAAAAAAAAAAAGAGGGAGAGCCGCAUCAUCGACCGAUCCGGACGGGCCGGGGAUCAUGUCGGGGGAAGACGGGACGAGUGAAAUCGAAACGUGCAACCGGACACCUCGGACUUCCCGAAAGAUUUGAGUAGGAGCGUACAUGUUGGGACCCGAAAGAUGGUGAACUAUGCCUGAAGAGGGUGAAGUCUGAGGAAACUCAGAUGGAAGCUCGCAGCGAUUCUGACGUGCAAAUCGAUCGUCUGAUUUGGGUAUAGGGGCGAAAGACUAAUCGAACCAUCUAGUAGCUGGUUCCCUCCGAAAUUUCCCUCAGGAUAGCUGGAACUCGAAACGCAGUUUUAUCAGGUAAAGCGAAUGAUUAGAGGCCUUGGGGUCGAAAUGACCUCAACCUAUUCUCAAACUUUAAAUGGGUAAGAAGCGCGACUUGCUUAAGUGAAGCCGUGCCGAACUGGAAUGCAAGAGUUCCAAGUGGGCCAUUUUUGGUAAGCAGAACUGGCGAUGCGGGAUGAACCGAACGCGAAGUUAAAGUGCCAAAGUUCACGCUCACCUAGAACCCAGAAAAGGUGUUGGCUGAUGAAGACAGCAGGACGGUGGCCAUGGAAGUCGGAAUCCGCCAAGGAGUGUGUAACAACUCACCUGCCGAAUCAGCCAGCCCUGAAAAUGGAUGGCGCUCAAGCGUGACACUUAUACUUUGCCGUUGCCGCGAAUAAGAAAAGAAAACUUUAAUUUGAGCCGCAACGAGUAGGAGGGCGUGGAGGUAAUUGGUGAAGAAGCUUAGGGCGCGAGCCCGAGUGAAACUGCC